GCUGUGUGGCUCAGUGGUUAGCGCGCCGCUAUUAUUAGUACGCGGCGCGUUGGUUCGAUUCCUGUUGCGAGCA